rnacentral:rRNA from 1 species
AUGUCUACUCGUGAUGCGUGCCCACUGUGUGGCUCUCCCGAUUCAUGGAGGCACGCGCUUGUGUCAUGUUCUACGGCUCGCUGCACCUGGGCGUUGUCUGAUCCUGUUCUUGUUGCGAAUAUGGCGAAGAAUGGCGAGGCAAGUGCCAAGAACUGACUGUUUCGCAUGAAUGGGGAUUUGGAUCACAAGUUAUUCACAAAACUGGUUGUGACUCUAUGGGAAAUAUGGUAUGCCAGAAGAAAGGCCAUCCACAAGGGGAUUUCGACGAGUGGAGAGACAAGGAGAUGGCUAGCUCCACCAGAGGGGAUGGUGAAAAUCAAUGUUGAUGGAGCAGUUAAGCGACACAAACGUGGAGGGGCAGUUUCUGCGGUGUGCCGAGACCAGACGGGACUAUAUCUGGGUUCUUCGGGUGCAGUCUUUCAAGGUAUUACCGAUCCCACAACACUGGAAACUUUCGCUUGCAGGGAGGCGUUGGCGUUGGCUCUGGAUCUUCAACUGACAAACAUGAAGGUCGCUUCGAACUGCAAGGGUGUGGUACUGGACAUAAAUGAGGGGACAGGUGGUCCGCAUUCAGCUAUUGUACAUGAAAUAACGCAACGGAGGAGCUCCUUCGACUUAGUCUAG